rnacentral:rRNA from 1 species
CCUACGGGUGGCUGCAGUGGGGAAUAUUGCGCAAUGGGCGAAAGCCUGAUGCAGCGACGCCGCGUGAGCGAUGAAGGCCUUCGGGUCGUAAAGCACUGUCCUAAGGGACGAAGAUUGACGGUACAAUAGGCGGGAGCGCCGGGUAACUACGUGCCAGCAGACGCGGCACUACGUAGGGGGAGCGCGUUAUCCGGAAUUACGGGGCGCAAAGGGUGGGUAGGCGGGUGUAUAAGUCCGGUGGGAAAGGCUUCGGCUAAACCGAAGUGAGCACUGGAAACUGGAGGGCUUGAGGGCAGGAGGGGAGAGCGGAAUUCCUAGUGGAGCGGUGAAAUGCGUAGAUAUUAGGAGGAACACCAGUGGCGAAGGCGUCUCUCUGGACUGUAACUGACGCUGAGGCACGAAAGCGUGGGGAGCAAACAGGAUUAGAUACCCUUGUAGUC